rnacentral:rRNA from 1 species
CGUGCCUAAUACAUGCAAGUCGAGCGAACAGACGAGGAGCUUGCUCCUCUGACGUUAGCGGCGGACGGGUGAGUAACACGUGGAUAACCUACCUAUAAGACUGGGAUAACUUCGGGAAACCGGAGCUAAUACCGGAUAAUAUAUUGAACCGCAUGGUUCAAUAGUGAAAGACGGUUUUGCUGUCACUUAUAGAUGGAUCCGCGCCGCAUUAGCUAGUUGGUAAGGUAACGGCUUACCAAGGCAACGAUGCGUAGCCGACCUGAGAGGGUGAUCGGCCACACUGGAACUGAGACACGGUCCAGACUCCUACGGGAGGCAGCAGUAGGGAAUCUUCCGCAAUGGGCGAAAGCCUGACGGAGCAACGCCGCGUGAGUGAUGAAGGUCUUCGGAUCGUAAAACUCUGUUAUUAGGGAAGAACAAAUGUGUAAGUAACUAUGCACGUCUUGACGGUACCUAAUCAGAAAGCCACGGCUAACUACGUGCCAGCAGCCGCGGUAAUACGUAGGUGGCAAGCGUUAUCCGGAAUUAUUGGGCGUAAAGCGCGCGUAGGCGGUUUUUUAAGUCUGAUGUGAAAGCCCACGGCUCAACCGUGGAGGGUCAUUGGAAACUGAAAAACUUGAGUGCAGAAGAGGAAAGUGGAAUUCCAUGUGUAGCGGUGAAAUGCGCAGAGAUAUGGAGGAACACCAGUGGCGAAGGCGACUUUCUGGUCUGUAACUGACGCUGAUGUGCGAAAGCGUGGGGAUCAAACAGGAUUAG